rnacentral:lncRNA from 1 species
AUGUGAUAGUGUAUAAUCUAGCAAUUCAGUUCGCGAAAUAAACGGUCAAAAACAAGUUAUAGGACAAUAUGGGCAGACCUGACCUCAUAAAAUACAAUAAUGGUGAUACCAUCCCAAGAGAAGGACAGAAGGUUCAUAUAUACACCCUCCUUCCUAAGACUUAUGAACAAGAUUGAAUGACAAAGAAAUUAAAUUUCUCAUACUGUGCUCUUAAACUAGGAAGUUGCCAUUUAUCAAGGAGAAAUGGUCCUUUUGCAUAGCUAGGUAGUUCGUGGAGUGAGUGAUACACCCUUCUCUAAUUUUUGGAGAUAGCCAUUUAGCAAUACAAUCCGCUACCUGAUUCCCCUCUAUGAAAUAAUGUCUGACUGUAGCUCGAGUUUGUUUAAUAAUGAGGGAGACUAUGUCUAUCACCUCUUUAAUCUUCAUGUUGUUAGAAUUUCCAUCUAUAAGAAUGGACUAUGAUCUUUGAGUCUAGUUCUAUAGAGAAAUUAGUGUAACCAUUUUGACUACACCAUUUCCCUCCAAACUCUACUGCUUUAGCCACUGCCAUGGUAUUAUCAUCACAGCUGGUAAGAAUAGAAAAAGUUGUAAUAAGGUCCCUUUGACUAUCCCUGACCACCCCUCUAAUGCCUGCCUUACCACUUUCAUUGUAGAAGCUUCCAUCCGUAUUAACUUUGACAGUGCCCGGCAGAGGAAAUUUCGAUGUAACUUAUAUCCAUUUCUGAGAUGGUCUGAGUCUCUCGAUCUUAUCACAUAAUAAGGGCCAUUUCAUCCGAGUGCAUUCAUCAGGUACAAUGUUGGAGAUAGCUACUUUCAAUGUCUAUGUGAUUUGGUGUCUUGUAGAGUUCAACUAAAACUUCUUAUGUUUUCCAUAUCUGCAUGCAUUUCUUUGUUUCCAAAGUUCCCAGCAUAUGAUUGUGGGAGCUAUUUGAAUCAUUUGAUAGUGCACUUUAUUGUUCGCCUUUGUCCUCCAGCAUCUUUUGAAGGUAGCAAUAAUAGGCCCAUGUUGAUGUUUGAUUCUGAAUGCAUUUCCUAUGUUGUUCUAUAUGAGAUGACGACUUCACUAUUAUUGAAGACAUGUUGAAC